rnacentral:rRNA from 1 species
CAUGUACUUAUACUCGGGAGUCAGACUGCGAGUGAUAAGAUCCGUAGUCGAAAGGGAAACAGCCCAGACCACCAGUUAAGGUCCCCAAAUAUAUGUUAAGUGGAAAAGGAUGUGGGGUUGCUUAGACAACCAGGAUGUUGGCUUAGAAGCAGCCACCAUUGAAAGAGUGCGUAAUAGCUCACUGGUCGAGUGACCCCGCGCCGAAAAUGUACCGGGGCUAAACAUAUUACCGAAACUGUGGAUGAACCUCUUUAGAGGUUCGUGGUAGGAGAGCGUUCUAAGGGCGGUGAAGUCAGACCGGAAGGACUGGUGGAGCGCUUAGAAGUGAGAAUGCCGGUAUGAGUAGCGAAAGAAGGGUGAGAAUCCCUUCCACCGAAUAUCUAAGGUUUCCUGAGGAAGGCUCGUCCGCUCAGGGUUAGUCGGGACCUAAGCCGAGGCCGAUAGGCGUAGGCGAUGGACAACAGGUAGAGAUUCCUGUACCAGUGCUAAUUGUUUAACCGAUGGGGUGACACAGAAGGAUAGGGAAUCGCACGAAUGGAAAUGUGCGUCCAAGCAGUGAGUGUGAGAAGUAGGCAAAUCCGCUUCUCGCGAAGCAUGAGCUGUGAUGGGGAAGGAAAUUAAGUACGGAAGUUCCUGAUUUCACGCUGUCAAGAAAAGCCUCUAGGAAGAGUAGUACUGCCCGUACCGCAAACCGACACAGGUAGAUGAGGAGAGAAUCCUAAGGUGAGCGAGAGAACUCUCGUUAAGGAACUCGGCAAAAUGACCCCGUAACUUCGGGAGAAGGGGUGCUCUAUUAGGGUGCAAGCCCGAGAGAGCCGCAGUGAAUAGGCCCAGGCGACUGUUUAGCAAAAACACAGGUCUCUGCAAAACCGUAAGGUGACGUAUAGGGGCUGACGCCUGCCCGGUGCUGGAAGGUUAAGAGGAGUGCUUAGCUUCGGCGAAGGUACGAAUUGAAGCCCCAGUAAACGGCGGCCGUAACUAUAACGGUCCUAAGGUAGCGAAAUUCCUUGUCGGGUAAGUUCCGACCCGCACGAAAGGCGCAACGAUCUGGGCACUGUCUCAACGAGAGACUCGGUGAAAUUAUAGUACCUGUGAAGAUGCAGGUUACCCGCGACAGGACGGAAAGACCCCGUGGAGCUUUACUGCAACCUGAUAUGGAAUGUUUGUACCGCUUGUACAGGAUAGGUAGGAGCCGAAGAGACGUGUGCGCUAGCAUACGAGGAGGCAAUGGUGGGAUACUACCCUGGCUGUAUGACCAUUCUAACCCGCCACGCUUAGCGCGUGGGGAGACAGUGUCAGGUGGGCAGUUUGACUGGGGCGGUCGCCUCCUAAAGAGUAACGGAGGCGCCCAAAGGUUCCCUCAGAAUGGAUGGAAAUCAUUCGCAGAGUGUAAAGGCACAAGGGAGCUUGACUGCGAGACUGACAAGUCGAGCAGGGACGAAAGUCGGGCUUAGUGAUCCGGUGGUUCCGCAUGGAAGGGCCAUCGCUCAACGGAUAAAAGCUACCCCGGGGAUAACAGGCUUAUCUCCCCCAAGAGUCCACAUCGACGGGGAGGUUUGGCACCUCGAUGUCGGCUCGUCGCAUCCUGGGGCUGUAGUCGGUCCCAAGGGUUGGGCUGUUCGCCCAUUAAAGCGGCACGCGAGCUGGGUUCAGAACGUCGUGAGACAGUUCGGUCCCUAUCCGUCGCGGGCGCAGGAAAUUUGAGAGGAGCUGUCCUUAGUACGAGAGGACCGGGAUGGACACACCGCUGGUGUACCAGUUGUUCCGCCAGGAGCAUCGCUGGGUAGCUAUGUGUGGCAGGGAUAAACGCUGAAAGCAUCUAAGCGUGAAGCCCCCCUCAAGAUGAGAUUUCCCAUUUCUUCGGAAAGUAAGAUCCCUGAAAGAUGAUCAGGUAGAUAGGUUUGGAGUGGAAGUGUAGCGAUACAUGGAGCGGACAAAUACUAAUCGAUCGAGGACUUAACCAAAA